UACGUAGGGAGCAAGCGUUGUCCGGAAUCAUUGGGCGUAAAGCGCGCGUAGGCGGCCCGGUAAGUCAGUCGUGAAAGUCAAAGGCUCAACCUUUGAAUGUCGAUGGAUACUGCCGGGCUAGAGUCCGGAAGAGGCGAGUGGAAUUCCUGGUGUAGCGGUGGAAUGCGCAGAUAUCAGGAGGAACACCAAUAGCGAAGGCAGCUCGCUGGGACGGUACUGACGCUAAGGCGCGAAAGCGUGGGGAGCGAACAGG
rnacentral:rRNA from 1 species